GGAAGCGUGGCUGAGUGGUCGAAAGCAGCAGUUUCGAAAACUGCCAGGGCUGCAAGGUCCUCGGAGGUUCGAAUCCUCCCGCUUCCGCCA
rnacentral:tRNA from 1 species